UAUUUCUAACCUUAUUCUCAAUUGUCACAUAUCACUCUCACUCACCUUUGCCGUUUCAAUUUUCCUUUUCGCACUAUCACUCACCUUGCUUCAAUUGUAACCAUUGACGAAAGCUACUGGUUGUGUUCCCUCUCUCUGCCUCGCCUUCCCUUUCCUUCUCAAGUGCUGCUUCAAUUUUCCGCUCUCUGCCUCGCCUUCCCUCUCCUGGUCGCGUUCCCUCUCUAUGCUCACCUUCUUUCUCCCGGCGCAGGUCACCCUCCCUCACCGCCGGCUUCUUCCUUUUCCUGUUCACAAAAUGUCUUCUCCACUUAAGAGCAAUGAACUGGUUUCAACCAAUUAUGUUGUUUUGUGGAUGAACCUGUCCAACCAGAUUUGAGUCAGCUACAAGAAACUGAACAAGGAAAUGAUCAAGUAGGCGAAGAGGCGGUGAUCAAGAGAAAGAGGAAGAAAACAUCGUCUGUUCGGGAAGAUUUUUAUGAAGUUAACCUUGUCGGAGGUACAAAGAAAGCUGUUUGCAAGUAUUGCAAACAAAAAAAUGCAACUGGUGGAGUAGGGGCUAAUACUACUAUACUAGCCAUUUGAGAAGGCAUGGAGAAGCUAGAUUUCUAAUGUAUUAUGUUGAUCUUGUGCUUGUAUUGUGCUUCUAUUGAAUUGUAUGUUGCUGCUAUAUGAAACUGAAGUUGUUCAGUCUUGAUGUUGGUUCACUCAUUUUGUUGAUUAUGUCUUCAUAUAGAAUUGUAUAGUGCUGUUGUUCACCACUUGAAUGCUAUCUUAUUUUGUGGGGUGA